UUAUUUUUGUAGUUGAAAUACAACGAUGGUUUUUCAUGCCAUAGGUUAUGGUUAGAGUCCAUAUAAAAAUA
rnacentral:tRNA from 1 species